CGCGGUGAAUACGUUCCCGGGCCUUGUACACACCGCCCGUCAAGCCAUGGAAGCCGGAGAUACCCGAAGUCGCCGCAAGGCGCCGAAGGUAAAAUCGGUGACUGGGGCU
rnacentral:rRNA from 1 species